GGGUUGUGAGGUUAAGCGACUAAGCGUACACGGUGGAUGCCCUGGCAGUCAGAGGCGAUGAAGGACGUGCUAAUCUGCGAUAAGCGUCGGUAAGGUGAUAUGAACCGUUAUAACCGGCGAUUUCCGAAUGGGGAAACCCAGUGUGUUUCGACACACUAUCAUUAACUGAAUCCAUAGGUUAAUGAGGCGAACCGGGGGAACUGAAACAUCUAAGUACCCCGAGGAAAAGAAAUCAACCGAGAUUCCCCCAGUAGCGGCGAGCGAACGGGGAGCAGCCCAGAGUCUGAAUCAGUGUGUGUGUUAGUGGAAGCGUCUGGAAAGGCGCGCGAUACAGGGUGACAGCCCCGUACACAAAAAUGCACAUGCUGUGAGCUCGAUGAGUAGGGCGGGACACGUGGUAUCCUGUCUGAAUAUGGGGGGACCAUCCUCCAAGGCUAAAUACUCCUGACUGACCGAUAGUGAACCAGUACCGUGAGGGAAAGGCGAAAAGAACCCCGGCGAGGGGAGUGAAAAAGAACCUGAAACCGUGUACGUACAAGCAGUGGGAGCACAGAGCAAUCUGUGUGACUGCGUACCUUUUGUAUAAUGGGUCAGCGACUUAUAUUCUGUAGCAAGGUUAACCGAAUAGGGGAGCCGAAGGGAAACCGAGUCUUAACUGGGCGUUAAGUUGCAGGGUAUAGACCCGAAACCCGGUGAUCUAGCCAUGGGCAGGUUGAAGGUUGGGUAACACUAACUGGAGGACCGAACCGACUAAUGUUGAAAAAUUAGCGGAUGACUUGUGGCUGGGGGUGAAAGGCCAAUCAAACCGGGAGAUAGCUGGUUCUCCCCGAAAGCUAUUUAGGUAGCGCCUCGUGAAUUCAUCUCCGGGGGUAGAGCACUGUUUCGGCAAGGGGGUCAUCCCGACUUACCAACCCGAUGCAAACUGCGAAUACCGGAGAAUGUUAUCACGGGAGACACACGGCGGGUGCUAACGUCCGUCGUGAAGAGGGAAACAACCCAGACCGCCAGCUAAGGUCCCAAAGUCAUGGUUAAGUGGGAAACGAUGUGGGAAGGCCCAGACAGCCAGGAUGUUGGCUUAGAAGCAGCCAUCAUUUAAAGAAAGCGUAAUAGCUCACUGGUCGAGUCGGCCUGCGCGGAAGAUGUAACGGGGCUAAACCAUGCACCGAAGCUGCGGCAGCGACGCUUAUGCGUUGUUGGGUAGGGGAGCGUUCUGUAAGCCUGUGAAGGUGUGCUGUGAGGCAUGCUGGAGGUAUCAGAAGUGCGAAUGCUGACAUAAGUAACGAUAAAGCGGGUGAAAAGCCCGCUCGCCGGAAGACCAAGGGUUCCUGUCCAACGUUAAUCGGGGCAGGGUGAGUCGACCCCUAAGGCGAGGCCGAAAGGCGUAGUCGAUGGGAAACAGGUUAAUAUUCCUGUACUUGGUGUUACUGCGAAGGGGGGACGGAGAAGGCUAUGUUGGCCGGGCGACGGUUGUCCCGGUUUAAGCGUGUAGGCUGGUUUUCCAGGCAAAUCCGGAAAAUCAAGGCUGAGGCGUGAUGACGAGGCACUACGGUGCUGAAGCAACAAAUGCCCUGCUUCCAGGAAAAGCCUCUAAGCAUCAGGUAACAUCAAAUCGUACCCCAAACCGACACAGGUGGUCAGGUAGAGAAUACCAAGGCGCUUGAGAGAACUCGGGUGAAGGAACUAGGCAAAAUGGUGCCGUAACUUCGGGAGAAGGCACGCUGAUAUGUAGGUGAAGUCCCUCGCGGAUGGAGCUGAAAUCAGUCGAAGAUACCAGCUGGCUGCAACUGUUUAUUAAAAACACAGCACUGUGCAAACACGAAAGUGGACGUAUACGGUGUGACGCCUGCCCGGUGCCGGAAGGUUAAUUGAUGGGGUCAGCGCAAGCGAAGCUCUUGAUCGAAGCCCCGGUAAACGGCGGCCGUAACUAUAACGGUCCUAAGGUAGCGAAAUUCCUUGUCGGGUAAGUUCCGACCUGCACGAAUGGCGUAAUGAUGGCCAGGCUGUCUCCACCCGAGACUCAGUGAAAUUGAACUCGCUGUGAAGAUGCAGUGUACCCGCGGCAAGACGGAAAGACCCCGUGAACCUUUACUAUAGCUUGACACUGAACAUUGAGCCUUGAUGUGUAGGAUAGGUGGGAGGCUUUGAAGUGUGGACGCCAGUCUGCAUGGAGCCGACCUUGAAAUACCACCCUUUAAUGUUUGAUGUUCUAACGUGGACCCGUGAUCCGGGUUGCGGACAGUGUCUGGUGGGUAGUUUGACUGGGGCGGUCUCCUCCUAAAGAGUAACGGAGGAGCACGAAGGUUGGCUAAUCCUGGUCGGACAUCAGGAGGUUAGUGCAAUGGCAUAAGCCAGCUUGACUGCGAGCGUGACGGCGCGAGCAGGUGCGAAAGCAGGUCAUAGUGAUCCGGUGGUUCUGAAUGGAAGGGCCAUCGCUCAACGGAUAAAAGGUACUCCGGGGAUAACAGGCUGAUACCGCCCAAGAGUUCAUAUCGACGGCGGUGUUUGGCACCUCGAUGUCGGCUCAUCACAUCCUGGGGCUGAAGUAGGUCCCAAGGGUAUGGCUGUUCGCCAUUUAAAGUGGUACGCGAGCUGGGUUUAGAACGUCGUGAGACAGUUCGGUCCCUAUCUGCCGUGGGCGCUGGAGAACUGAGGGGGGCUGCUCCUAGUACGAGAGGACCGGAGUGGACGCAUCACUGGUGUUCGGGUUGUCAUGCCAAUGGCACUGCCCGGUAGCUAAAUGCGGAAGAGAUAAGUGCUGAAAGCAUCUAAGCACGAAACUUGCCCCGAGAUGAGUUCUCCCUGACCCUUUAAGGGUCCUGAAGGAACGUUGAAGACGACGACGUUGAUAGGCCGGGUGUGUAAGCGCAGCGAUGCGUUGAGCUAACCGGUACUAAUGAACCGUGAGGCUUAACCUUACAACGCCGAAGGUGUUU
rnacentral:rRNA from 1 species